rnacentral:rRNA from 1 species
UACGGGGGGAGCAAGCGUUGUUCGGAUUUACUGGCGUAAAGGGCGCGUAGGCGGUCAGCACAAGUCAGUUGUGAAAUCUCCGAGCUUAACUCGGAACGGUCAACUGAUACUGUGCGACUAGAGUGCGGAAGGGGCAACUGGAAUUCUCGGUGUAGCGGUGAAAUGCGUAGAUAUCGAGAGGAACACCUGCGGCGAAGGCGGGUUGCUGGGCCGACACUGACGCUGAUGCGCGAAAGCCAGGGGAGCGAACGGG